ensembl:miRNA Mir322 microRNA 322
UCGUUAACUCAGAGGGAAUGCAGCAGCAAUUCAUGUUUUGGAGUACCUUGAAACGGUUCAAAACGUGAAGCGCUGCUAUAUUCCUUCGUGAGGAA